UGGCGAGUCGUCCAGUGGUAGGACAGCGGACUUUGAAUCCGCGAACCGUGGUUCGAAUCCACGCUCGCCAGCCA
rnacentral:tRNA from 1 species